AUUGAACGCUGGCGGCAGGCCUAACACAUGCAAGUCGAACGAGUGGCGGACGGGUGAGUAAUGUCUGGGAAACUGCCUGAUGGAGGGGGAUAACUACUGGAAACGGUAGCUAAUACCGCAUACCAUCAGAUGUGCCCAGAUGGGAUUAGCUAGUUGGUGGGGUAACGGCUCACCAAGGCGACGAUCCCUAGCUGGUCUGAGAGGAUGACCGGCCCCACUGGACCUGAGCCACGUUCCAGACUCCUACGGGAGGAAGCAGUGGGGAAUAUUGCAAAAUGGGCGCAAGCCUGAUGCAGCCAUGCCGGGUGAAUGAAGAAGGCUUUCGGGUUGUAAAGAACUUUCAGCGGGGAGGCGUUACCAGCAGAAGAAGCACCGGAUAACUCCGUGCCAGCAACCGCGUAAAUC
rnacentral:rRNA from 1 species